AGCUAAUAGAUACCCCGGUAGUCCACGCCGUAAACUAUGGAUGCUAGCUGUUAGAGGUAUCGACCCCUCUAGUAGCGAAAGCUAACGCGUUAAGCAUCCCGCCUGUGGAGUACGGUCGCAAGACUAAAACAUAAAGGAAUUGACGGGGACCCGGCACAAGCGGUGGAGCGUGUUGUUUAAUUCGAUGGUAAGCGAAGAACCUUACCCAGGCUUGACAUCCUUGGAAUUUUGGCGAAAGCCGAGAGUGCCUUCGGGAACCAAGUGACAGGUGUUGCAUGGCCGUCGUCAGCUCGUGUCGUGAGAUGUUUGGUUAAGUCCAUCAACGAGCGCAACCCUUAUAGUUAGUUGAAUUUUUCUAGCUAGACUGCCCUGGCAACAGGGAGGAAGGAGGGGAUGAUGUCAGGUCAGUAUUACCCUUACGUCUGGGGCUACAAACACGCUACAAUGGCCGGUACAAAGGGCAGCCAAGUCGCGAGACGGAGCAAAUCCCAUCAAAGCCGGUCUAAGUUCGGAUAGCAGGCUGAAACUCGCCUGCUUGAAGCUGGAA
rnacentral:rRNA from 1 species